rnacentral:piRNA from 1 species
UGUAACUCAAAGGAUGGAAUAUCAAGGU